rnacentral:rRNA from 1 species
AUGCACGCUGGCGGCGUGCCUAAUACAUGCAAGUCGAGCGAACAGACGAGGAGCUUGCUCCUCUGACGUUAGCGGCGGACGGGUGAGUAACACGUGGAUAACCUACCUAUAAGACUGGGAUAACUUCGGGAAACCGGAGCUAAUACCGGAUAAUAUAUUGAACCGCAUGGUUCAAUAGUGAAAGACGGUUUUGCUGUCACUUAUAGAUGGAUCCGCGCCGUAUUAGCUAGUUGGUAAGGUAACGGCUUACCAAGGCAACGAUGCGUAGCCGACCUGAGAGGGUGAUCGGCCACACUGGAACUGAGACACGGUCCAGACUCCUACGGGAGGCAGCAGUAGGGAAUCUUCCGCAAUGGGCGAAAGCUUGACGGAGCAACGCCGCGUGAGUGAUGAAGGUCUUCGGAUCGUAAAACUCUGUUAUUAGGGAAGAACAAAUGUGUAAGUAACUAUGCACGUCUUGACGGUACCUAAUCAGAAAGCCACGGCUAACUACGUG